AUUGAACGCUGGCGGCAGGCCUAACACAUGCAAGUCGAACGGUAACAGGAAGCAGCUUGCUGCUUUGCUGACGAGUGGCGGACGGGUGAGUAAUGUCUGGGAAACUGCCCGAUGGAGGGGGAUAACUACUGGAAACGGUAGCUAAUACCGCAUAACGUCGCAAGACCAAAGAGGGGGACCUUAGGGCCUCUUGCCAUCGGAUGUGCCCAGAUGGGAUUAGCUAGUAGGUGGGGUAACGGCUCACCUAGGCGCCGAUCCCUAGCUGGUCUGAGAGGAUGACCAGCCACACUGGAACUGAGACACGGUCCAGACUCCUACGGGAGGCAGCAGUGGGGAAUAUUGCACAAUGGGCGCAAGCCUGAUGCAGCCAUGCCGCGUGUAUGAAGAAGGCCUUCGGGUUGUAAAGUACUUUCAGCGGGGAGGAAGGGAGUAAAGAUAAUACCUUUGCUCAUUGACGUUACCCGCAGAAGAAGCACCGGCUAACUCCGUG
rnacentral:rRNA from 1 species